UGCUUCCUCCCAGGGCUCCCCCAAGGGGCAAAGCAAAGCCCCCUCCUCAGUGUGCAGUGAGAGCUGAGCUCCAGCCCAGGGCUCAGGGAGGGGCUGGGCAGUCCCUGGAUGGAAACACGUUUGCAUGAGCAGCCCCUCCUCUGCAGAGGGUGGGGACAAAAGGAGGCCUGGGCAGCCCAGCCCCACUGUGGGGACCAGGGGCUGUGUGCACCAUGGCCUGGGCUCCUCUCCUGCUCGUGUUCCUCUCUCACUGCACAGGUUCCCUGUCCCAGCCUGUGGUGAUUCAGCCGCCCUCCCUCUCUGCAUCUCCUGGGGCAUCAGCCAGACUCACCUGCACCUUGAGAAGUGACAUCAGUGUUGGUGGUAAAAACAUGUACUGGUACCAGCAGAAGCCAGGGAGCCCGCCCCCCUAUCUCCUGAGAUACUACUCAGACUCGGAUAAGCACCAGGGCUCCGGGGUCCCCAGCCGCUUCUCUGGCUCCAAAGACGCCUCGGCCAACGCAGGGAUUCUGCACGUCUCUGGGCUGCAGCCUGAGGACGAGGCUGACUAUUACUGUGCCGUGUGGCACAACAGUGCUUGUCACAGUGACACAGGCGGAUGGGGAAGUGGGACGAAAACCCCAGCCUGUGCAGGGUCUCAUCUGAUGAUAAUUUUCAAAUUUUAA